rnacentral:rRNA from 1 species
UACGAAGGGGGCUAGCGUUGCUCGGAAUUACUGGGCGUAAAGGGCGCGUAGGCGGCCUGCCAAGUCAGACGUGAAAUUCCUGGGCUUAACCUGGGGGCUGCGUUUGAGACUGGUUGGCUAGAGGUCAGAAGAGGGUCGUGGAAUUCCCAGUGUAGAGGUGAAAUUCGUAGAUAUUGGGAAGAACACCGGUGGCGAAGGCGGCGACCUGGUCUGAUACUGACGCUGAGGCGCGACAGCGUGGGGAGCAAAC